rnacentral:tRNA from 1 species
GGGCCCGUAGCUCAGUUGGUCAGAGCAACCGGCUCAUAACCGGUGGGUCACUGGUUCGAGUCCAGUCGGGCCCA